UUCAGAUUUUCAAAUCACCGAUUUUGGUGGUUUUUGAUGGUUAAACAUUUUUUUUUCAUUUUUACCCUCACAAUAUUUUGUUAAUUUCAGUUUUAUCCUUAAACCCCCAAUUUUGGUUUUCUUCAUAGCCCGACCUGCUUCUUCUUCACAUCAGCUGGCAUCUUCUUCUUCUGCUUCCAUCUUCUGCUUCUACUUCUUCAAUUCUACCAUUUGCUUCAUCUCUUUUUCUUUCAAUCAAGGUAAGUAAUGAUUAAAUUGCUUCUUGCUUUGAAUAUUCUUGUUUUUAGGUUUGUGUUUUUGAAAUGCAUAUAGGUUGUUUUUGAAGAUUUAAAGGUUGAAAUGCAUAUAGGGUUUGUGAAGAUUGAAUAUUGAAAUGCAUAUAGGGGUUUGUGAAAUGCAUUUUUACCCCUCUCUCACUUAAACAACCCAUUGCUCUUCUCUAUGAUUCAGACUAAGAAAAGCCAAUGGAGUCCGUUCGCCUGAUGUUUUUCAAUUCUAGAUAGUGUUUAAAUUUGCAGCUUUUGU
rnacentral:lncRNA from 1 species